CUAAAAUACCCUCAUUUUCUCCCUUACCCUUCUGUCUAUCCCAUCUCUCUCUCUCUCUGGUUCGUCUCCUUCUUUGCCCGACACCAUCACAAACUCACGGAAACUACGGCAAUCCAACCACCUACAAGCUUCUCAUCGUCCAAAGCCUCAAAGACCCUUUUCCUUCCUGCUAACAUCAACCCAAAUCCCAUACUCAUCUCUUUUCGGCAUAUACUAUUUACAUAGCAGCAUCAACUCAAAUCUCAUGCCUAUCUCAUUCAACAACUCAAC
rnacentral:misc_RNA from 1 species